rnacentral:rRNA from 1 species
GACGAACGCUGGCGGCGUGCUUAACACAUGCAAGUCGAACGAAGUGGGGCACGGGUGAGUAAUAAGUGUGUAACCUGCCCUCCUUUUUGGGAUCAACAUUGGGAACGGGGUCUAAUACCGAAUAAAGGGGGGUGGGCUCGCGGCCUAGCAGCUUGUUGGUGGGGUGAUGGCCUACGAAGGCUGUGCCGGGUAGCCGGCCUGAGAGGGUGACCGGGCAGAGUGGGAGUGCGAGACUCCCCAGACUCCCACGGGAGGGAGCAGUGGGCGAUAGUGGACAAUGUGCCAGAGCCUGAUGCAGCGACGGCUCGUGGGCUAUGAAGGCUUGAGGUUUGUAAACCGCUGUCGAUAGCGAACGGGUACCUGGAGAAGAAGCGCCGGCUAACUACGUGCCAGCAGCCGCGGUAAUAC